CCGCCCGUCACAUCACGAAAGUGGGUUGUACUAGAAGUCUGCAGGCUAACCCGCAGGGAGGCAGCGGCCCAAGGUAUGACUCAUGAUUGGGGUG
rnacentral:rRNA from 1 species